rnacentral:misc_RNA from 1 species
AGAUUCUCGAACAAGAGCAUACAAAUACUUGAUAUGAGUUGACUAGCCUUACUUGCCUAUCAGGAGAAGACCCCAGAACUAAACUUUUCUUUUAAUCUGGUAGUCUCGGAUCACCACGGGG